UACGUAGGGUGCGAGCGUUGUCCGGAAUUAUUGGGCGUAAAGAGCUCGUAGGCGGUUUGUCGCGUCUGCCGUGAAAGUCCGGGGCUCAACUCCGGAUCUGCGGUGGGUACGGGCAGACUAGAGUGAUGUAGGGGAGACUGGAAUUCCUGGUGUAGCGGUGAAAUGCGCAGAUAAUCAGGAGGAACACCGAUGGCGAAGGCAGGUCUCUGGGCAUUAACUGACGCUGAGGAGCGAAAGCAUGGGGAGCGAACAGG
rnacentral:rRNA from 1 species